CCUGAUAGCUGGUUCUUUCCGAAAUAUAUUUGGGUAUAGCGUCGGGCGCUGAUGAGUGGAGGUAGAGCACUAAAUAAGCUAGGGCCCCUACCGGGGUACUGAACUUAAUUAAACUCCGAAUACCAUUCAAUGAAGUCCGGCAGUCAGACUGUGGGGGAUAACCUUCAUAGUCGAGAGGAGAACAAUCCAAACCAUCGGUUAAGGUCCCAAAACAUAGCUCAGUGUAAAAGGAUGUGAUUUUGCUUAGACAAUGGGGAUGUUGGCUUAGAGGCAGCCAUCAUUUAAACAGUGCGUAACAGCUGACUCAUCGAGCGAUGUCGCGCCGAAAAUGAUUGGCGAUAAGCGGUAUGCCGAAGCUGCGGGUCGCGUCGAACUACGGUUCGACGCGGCGGUAGGAGAGCGUGGCCGUCCCGGCAAAGCCGUUCCGUAAGGAAUGGUGGAGGGAUGGCCAGUGAGAAUGCAGACACGAGUAGCGAUAAAACAGGUGAGAAACCUGUUCGCCGUAAGCCCAAGGGUUCCUGGGUAAAGUUAAUCUUCCCAGGGUUAGUCGGAUCCUAAGGCGAGGCUGAAAAGCGUAGUUGAUGGGAAACGGGUUAAUAUUCCCGUACCAGUAAGUGGAGUACAGGCGGGACACCGUCGGAUAGCUCAGCCUCUGAGUGGAUUGAGGUGGCAAGCGGGUCAUACCCGUGACGCCGGGACUUCGGUCCAGAAGUGAGCCAGUCUGAGGGUCAAGAAAAGCGCACUGGCGUUGAAGCGAGCUGCACGUACCGCAAACCGACACUGGUAGACGGGUAGAAUAUACCAAGGCGCUUGAGAGAACUCGGGUGAAGGAACUAGGCAAAAUGGCACCGUAACUUCGGGAGAAGGUGUGCCGCCUGGGGUGUAGGAGCUUGCCUCCGAAGCCCUGGACGGUCGCAGUGAAAAGUCCCAGGCGACUGUUUACUAAAAACACAGGUCUGUGCGAACGCGGAAGCGGACGUAUACGGGCUGACGCCUGCCCAGUGCCGGAAGGUUAAGGAAGUCGGUCAGCGCAAGCGAAGCUGGCGACCGAAGCCCCGAUAAACGGCGGCCGUAACUAUGACGGGCCUAAGGUAGCGAAGUUCCUUGUCGGGUAAGUUCCGACCCGCACGAAAGGCGUAACGAUCUGGGCACUGUCUCGGAGAGAGACUCGGUGAAAUAGACAUGUCCGUGAAGAUGCGGACUACCCGCACCCGGACAGAAAGACCCUAUGAAGCUUCACUGUUUCCUGGGAUUGGCUUUGGGUUCUUCCUGCGUAGCUUAGGUGGAAGGCGAGGAAGGCCCCCUUCCGGGGGGGCUCGAGCCAUCAGUGAAAUACCACUCUAGGAGAGCCGAAAUUCUAACCUUGCGCCACUCACAGGCCAAGGGACAGUCUCAGGUAGACAGUUUCUAUGGGGCGUAGGCCUCCCAAAGGGUAACGGAGGCGUACGAAGGUUCUCUCAGGCUGAUUGGAAACCAGCCGUCGAGUGUAAAGGCACAAGAGAGCUUGACUGUGAG
rnacentral:rRNA from 1 species